AGUAGUGUUACUGACGCUCAUGCUCGAAAGCGCGGGUAUCGAACAGGAUUAGAUACCCUGGUAGUCCGCGCGGUAAACGAUGGAUGCCCGCUGUUGGCGAGAGAAUGUCAGCGGCCAAGCGAAAGCAUUAAGCAUCCCACCUGGGGAGUACGCCGGCAACGGUGAAACUCAAAGGAAUUGACGGGGGCCCGCACAAGCGGAGGAACAUGUGGUUUAAUUCGAUGAUACGCGAGGAACCUUACCCGGGCUUGAACUGACGGAGAACGAUCCAGAGAUGGUGAGGCCCUUCGGGGCUCCGUUGGAGGUGCUGCAUGGUUGUCGUCAGCUCGUGCCGUGAGGUGUCGGCUUAAGUGCCAUAACGAGCGCAACCCCUGUCGUCAGUUGCCAUCAGGUAAAGCUGGGCACUCUGGUGAUACUGCCACCGCAAGGUGUGAGGAAGGUGGGGAUGACGUCAAAUCAGCACGGCCCUUACGUCCGGGGCUACACACGUGUUACAAUGGCGCGCACAGAGAGCCGGUGCAUGGCGACAUGCAUCCAAUCAAGAAACCGAUGUCGUAGUUCGGAUUGGGGUCUGCAACCCGACCCCAUGAAGCUGGAUUCG
rnacentral:rRNA from 1 species